rnacentral:rRNA from 1 species
CUCAGGGAGGUAGUGACAAGAAAUAACAACACUGGAAAUUUUAUUUCUAGUGAUUGGAAUGAUGGGAAUUUAAACCCCUUUCAGAGUAACAAUUGGAGGGCAAGUCUGGUGCCAGCAGCCGCGGUAAUUCCAGCUCCAAUAGCGUAUAUUAAAGUUGUUGCAGUUAAAAAGCUCGUAGUUGGAUGUCUGCUGGAAGCAAUCAGUCCGCCCUAUUUGUAGGGUGUGCACUUGAUGAAUUCUGGCAUCUAUGUCCUAAUGUGAUAGAUACGGCGGUGUAUAUGGGUUAAUCCUAUAUACCCGUUUUUGUAUAUUAUAUUGGGAUAAUACCGUUACUUUGAGAAAAUUAGAGUGUUUGAAGCAGGCUAAUUGCCUUGAAUACUACAGCAUGGAAUAACAAUAUAGGAUUUCGGUUCUAUUUUGUUGGUUUCUAGGACUGAAAUAAUGAUUAAUAGGGACAGUUGGGGGCAUUCGUAUUUAACUGUCAGAGGUGAAAUUCUUAGAUUUGUUAAAGACGAACUACUGCGAAAGCAUUUGCCAAAGAUGUUUUCAUUAAUCAAGAACGAAAGUUAGGGGCUCGAAGACGAUCAGAUACCGUCGUAGUCUUAACCAUAAACUAUGCCGACUAGAGAUAGGAAAAUGUCAUUUUUCUGACUU